rnacentral:rRNA from 1 species
CUCACAACGCCUUGCUUAACCACACCCCCACGGGAGACAGCAGUAACAAAAAUUAAGCCAUAAACGAAAGUUUGACUAAGCCAUAUUGACUAGGGUUGGUAAAUCUCGUGCCAGCCACCGCGGUCAUACGAUUGACCCAAGCUAACAGGAGUACGGCGUAAAGCGUGUUAAAGCAUCAUACUAAAUAGAGUUAAAUUUUAAUUAAACUGUAAAAAGCCAUAAUUAUAACAAAAAUAAAUGACGAAAGUAACCCUACAAUAGCUGAUACACCAUAGCUAAGACCCAAACUGGGAUUAGAUACCCCACUAUGCUUAGCCCUAAACACAAAUAAUUAUAAAAACAAAAUUAUUCGCCAGAGUACUACCGGCAACAGCCCGAAACUCAAAGGACUUGGCGGUGCUUUAUACCCUUCUAGAGGAGCCUGUUCUAUAAUCGAUAAACCCCGAUAAACCUCACCAAUCCUUGCUAAUACAGUCUAUAUACCGCCAUCUUCAGCAAACCCUAAAAAAGGGACAAAAGUAAGCUCAAUAAUAACACAUAAAGACGUUAGGUCAAGGUGUAACCUAUGGAGUGGGAAGAAAUGGGCUACAUUUUCUACCCAAGAAAAUUUAAUACGAAAGCCAUUAUGAAAUUAAUAGCCAAAGGAGGAUUUAGCAGUAAACUAAGAAUAGAGUGCUUAGUUGAAUCAGGCCAUGAAGCACGCACACACCGCCCGU